AAGACACCGAUCAUCUACUUCCGGCUGUCUUCCGCUGUCUCCUGGCUUGUGAUGCUAGCUGUUAGCCGUUUCAUGCUAGGCAGGGACAUGUGUGGCUCUGAUAAAACAAGACCACUUAGUUUAAAGUUUCUAAAACCGGAAGACAUGUAGCGGCAACUGUAGACGAAACACUGUGACUUUGUUUGUUUUUUUAAAGCGUAAUUGUGCAUCAAAAACCACCAGGCUUCACAUUAUUGUAGCUAGUUGACAAACAGCAACGUCAAGGUGCGCUACUCACAACCAUCACAGGACAGUGCUCAUCUGUCCCCCACUAACUAAACAUUAGGACGACGACUCCCCAAGAUCAAAAAAAUGCCUUCGAGAAAUCAUCUUGACAAAAUCGGGAGGAAGAAGAAGAAGAAAUGGACAGAGGAGGCCAUGGAGCGUGCACUGGUCGAGGUGAAGUCGGGAAGGUGUACAGUGAGACAGGCUGCCAAAGAGUUUGGAGUCCCUAAAUCUUCCCUGGGGGACAGAGUGAGUGGACGGGUGACACCAGGGAGUCGCAGCGGGCCAGCUCAGCUUAUAACAUCUGACGACGAGGAGCUGUUGGUGGAGUUCUCUUUAUACAUGUCCAAGCAUGGAUUCCCGCUGACAAAGCAACAGCUGGUGUCCUUUGCCUCCUCCAUUUACAAGCGGCAGCAUCGGAGAGUGGCAUUUUCUAAACUAGGCCAGACCUGGUGGCUCAAUUUUAGAAAACGGCAAGAAAAGAAUAUUACCAUUCAGCCAGCAGACAAUGUUGUUCGUGGGAGGACAGUAUGUGUGAGAAAGGAAGCAGUGGAUCAGUUUUUACACUUACUGAGCACUGUCAUGGACGCUCAUGGGCUCAGAGACAAGCCUCAUCAAAUUUUCAACUGCAAUGAGACGGGCUUUCAGCUGGGCAGGAAGAGGGUGAUUCUCCCCAAAUCUGCCAGUCUGGGCUACAAGCCAACGUCAGGCUCGAGGGACCACAUCUCCGCCCUGGCUUGCUUUAGCGCAGCUGGAGAGGACAUUCCCCCAUUUAUUAUCUACUCAAAGGCAUACCCAGGGGGAGUAUGUUACAAGACUCAAGGGCCUCCAAACGCCCUCUAUGGAUGGUCAGACUUGGGGUGUAUCAACUCUGACCUUUUCAAGAAAUGGUUCCUCAAACACUUCCUCCUGCACGCACCGAAGGAGCGUCCUUUGCUGCUGAUUUUCGACGGCCACAAGUCUCCUGUGAACCUUGAGGUGGUGGAAGCUGCUCGUAAGGAGGACGUCAUCCUUCUGUGUCUUCCGCCUCACUGCUCUCACAUCCUGCAGCCACUCGACGCGGGUCUCUUCGGUCUCCUGAAGCAGCGUUUCGCAGCACUCAUAGGUCGGCUGUGUCAGCGCAGAGUGGAGUCGAGCCUCCUCUGGGUCUCUGUCUCACGCAGGCAGGCAGGUAGAGAUGCUUCACCCUGAGCCCCCACCCCCUGUCAGUUCAGAUUCCACCCCCUGUUUGUGUGAAGGAUGCUGCUCUGCAGGUUGAUCGAGUGGGUUGGUUGCUUAUCAUGACAAUCAAGAGACGGGUAUCAUUGUUUUAUAGUUUUGUGUUUCUGCGAGCUUGACAUAUGACAGCGCAGAGUUGACAGGGUUUGUAAACCAACUAGCUUUUGCAUGCAUGGUUCAGAUGUGUGAGACAACUUACACCAUUUAAACCAACCCUACAAUUUAGUGUAGUGGUGUUUUUUCCCCCACUGACUUUAGCCUUGGAAUAUAUAGUUACCACUCUACAAAUGUGGCCAAAAAAUUCAACCGUGCAGUUUAUGAGCUGAAGACACAUUUAUAUUACUUUUUUUUUUUUAAAUGUAUGUAUUAACGUUUAUAUUUUAGCCCUAUUUUUGAACAUUUUAGGUCUUGUAUUCUCGUUUAGUUUUUACUUGUGUAAUUUUCCCUUUUAUAAAUGAGCAAUGUUGGAGGGAGCCUGAGAUCCAAGAUGUUCAUUGCCAUUGACUGCUUCUCUGUUAUGGUUGCACAUAUUUUAAUAAAGAACUUGAAA
rnacentral:lncRNA from 1 species